UCCUUCUGCACUGCAACUUGCAGAUAUCUUCACUAAAUCUCUCCCGCGCCAUUCCUUUCAGAGUCUCAGAGCCAAACUGAGUGUUGGUGCUCCACCCACCAUCAGUUUGCGAGGGGAUGACAGUAAACAAACAUUUAAGUCAAAUGUGCCAGCUGGAGUAAACUGUGGAAUAGCUUUGUCUUGACAUUAUGAUGCAUUCCAGGCUGUAAAGAAAGGUAUUUGGUAUGAUGCCUUCCAAGCUGUAAACCGUGUGUGAUGGAGAUAUAUUUGAUUAUCUUGUAAAGAAACGUUUUUUGGUUAAGAGAGCGAAUACAAGUUAGAAGUAAAGCUUUUAUCAAGAUCUCUCAGUCUCCUUUUAUUCACAGUGAAGAAGAUUGUCAACACUCUUAACGAAGCUCAAGUACCUUCCCAGGAUGUCGUUGGCAUGUGCAUAUACUAUAAAUCUUCAUCUUAACAAAGGGACAUGUUAAUUACUAAUUAGAAGAGUAUCUGAAUUGCCUUUACUCUGAUAAAAACGUAUUUGAUUUGUGUAUACAAACAGUUCUGUGUCCAUUAGCCAUGUAGUGAUGUUGUGGUUAGAUCAUAUACUUUGUGUUUCUAUCUGCUUGGAUGACCAAAUCUAUCAAAAGUAGUUCUUAUUAGUUGACUUAUGUUUUUCUGUUUAUGCAAAUAUGAUUAGGUUUUAUGUAAUGUUUAUAGGAGUAACUUAUUAUACACGUUGUUGGUUACUAACGUAGUGGAAAUUUCGCAAAUGCAGAGGUUGUGGUUAGCCUUCCAUAUGUGUUUCUUCCUCUUGUUAAGAGCAAAUUGAGGUCUGACUUCUAUGUCGCGGCUCAAAACUGCUGGGUUAAGAAAGGAGGUGCCUUCACUGGUGAAGUCAGGACCCGAAAAAACCUGGACCCGAAAGGAACCGGCCCGAACCCGACCCGAAGACACGAACGCCCAGGCCUAGCUCAGCCCAAGCUCUCAGGAAGUACAUGAUGAGCUGAGGAAAUGGCUUGCAAAGAAUGUGAGUGAUGAUGUCGCUGCUACAACCCGCAUCAUUUAUGGAGGAUCCGUCAAUGGUGGUAACUGCAAAGAGCUCGGUGGUCAGGCCGAUGUUGAUGGUUUCUUGGUCGGUGGUGCUUCUCUAAAGCUUGAGUUUAUCGACAUCAUCAAGGCUGCCGAGGUGAAGAAGAGUGCUUAAUGAGUUUCACUAAGCAAUAUCUAGCUUCCUUUUGCUUGUUCAGUCUCAACACUGAUUUUUAAAAUGAAUAAGUCGAUACAGUUUUAUUAUGAUACUCUUUGCUUCAUGUGUAUGUUAUCUUGAGAAGGCAACAAUCAUUUUACCUUUUA